rnacentral:rRNA from 1 species
GUCUCUUUGAGUUUUUUUAAUGAAGAGUUGGGCCUGCUCGGUGAUUAAUAUUUAACAGCUGCGGUAUUAUAACUGUACUAAGGUAGCAUAAUAAUUUGCUCUAUAAAUUGGGGCUAGAAUGAAUGGUUUGACGAGAAUUUAACUGUCUCUAUUUUAUUUAUUAGAAAUUAAUUUUUAUAGUGAAAAAGCUUUAAUUAUUUAAAGGGACGAAAAGACCCUAUUGAGCUUUUGUUAUUAUAUAGAUAUAUAUAUAUAUAUAUAUAUAUAUGAUUUAUUUGUAAAUAACUUUGGUUGGGGUGAUCAAGGAAUAAAAAUUAAUUUAAAGUGUUUUAUUAACUUCCUUAAUUUUAAAUUUAGUUGAAGAAUAAACCAAGUUUUUUGCUUAGAAGAUAAGUUACCAUAGGGAUAACAGCGUAAUUUUUUUUGAGAGUUCAUAUUGAAAAAAGAGAUUGCGACCUCGAUGUUGGAUUAAAAUUGACCUUAAGGUGUAGAGGCUUUAUUAGGUAAAUCUGUUCGAUUUUUAAAAUUUU